rnacentral:rRNA from 1 species
GACCAGACUCCUACGGGAGGCAGCAGUAGGGAAUCUUUCACAAUGGGGGAAACCCUGAUGCAGCGACGCCGCGUGUGGGAAGACGGUCCUCUGGAUUGUAAACCACUGUCCCCAGGGACGAAGAUGACGGUACCUGGGGAGGAAGCUCCGGCUAACUACGUGCCAGCAGCCGCGGUAAUACGUAGGGAGCGAGCGUUGUCCGGAAUUACUGGGUGUAAAGGGAGCGUAGGCGGGACUGCAAGUUGGGUGUCAAAUCUACCGGCUCAACCGGUAGCCGCACUCAAAACUGCAGUUCUUGAGUGAAGUAGAGGCAGGCGGAAUUCCUAGUGUAGCGGUGAAAUGCGUAGAUAUUAGGAGGAACACCAGUGGCGAAGGCGGCCUGCUGGGCUUUUACUGACGCUGAGGCUCGAAAGUGUGGGGAGCAAACAGGAUUAGAUACCCGAGUA